rnacentral:rRNA from 1 species
CCUACGGGCGGCAGCAGUGGGGAAUAUUGCACAAUGGGCGCAAGCCUGAUGCAGCCAUGCCGCGUGUGUGAAGAAGGCCUUCGGGUUGUAAAGCACUUUCAGCGGGGAGGAAGGCGUUAAGGUUAAUAACCUUGGCGAUUGACGUUACCCGCAGAAGAAGCACCGGCUAACUCCGUGCCAGCAGCCGCGGUAAUACGGAGGGUGCAAGCGUUAAUCGGAAUUACUGGGCGUAAAGCGCACGCAGGCGGACUGUCAAGUCGGAUGUGAAAUCCCCGGGCUCAACCUGGGAACUGCAUUCGAAACUGGCAGGCUAGAGUCUUGUAGAGGGGGGUAGAAUUCCAGGUGUAGCGGUGAAAUGCGUAGAGAUCUGGAGGAAUACCGGUGGCGAAGGCGGCCCCCUAGACAAAGACUGACGCUCAGGUGCGAAAGCGUGGGGAGCAAACAGGAUUAGAUACCCGUGUAGUC